CGAGCGCACAGCUCCGUGAGACUCGACACGAGUGUGUGUGUGUGUGUGUGUGUGAGUGUGAGUGAGCUGUGACACACAGGAGGGAAUGACAUGAACGCUCAUGAGAGGAAGCGAGGAAGAGACCUACGCAGACAGCAAGUGUUCCUGAGAGCCGACAACACACCUGCUGCUGCCCUGCCCUCCCUACAGCGCUGAGUGUGUAUCAGAGCGCCAGAGAAACCAAUGCAGCGGCACACUCAGCUCAGAGACACACACCGCGAUGCAGUACAGGUACGACACACACACACACACACACACACACACACAGACACACCUCUGCUUCAGUAGUUUUCCUCGUGGUGUGUGUCUCUGAUCAUACAUCCAUUUGUAUGUCAUGUUUUCCAUGUCUGUAGAUCAGAAGCUGUCUAAUCAGCUCCGCCCACCGUCAC